UCUUGCCUCCCGUAGGAGUCUGGACCGUGUCUCAGUUCCAAAUCGAAUUCCCGCUGCCACAU
rnacentral:rRNA from 1 species